ACGGGAGGCAGCAGUGGGGAAUAUUGCACAAUGGAGGAAACUCUGAUGCAGCGACGCCGCGUGAAGGAUGAAGUAUUUCGGUAUGUAAACUUCUAUCAGCAGGGAAGAAAAUGACGGUACCUGACUAAGAAGCCCCGGCUAACUACGUGCCAGCAGCCGCGGUAAUACGUAGGGGGCAAGCGUUAUCCGGAUUUACUGGGUGUAAAGGGAGCGUAGACGGCACGGCAAGCCAGAUGUGAAAGCCCGGGGCUCAACCCCGGGACUGCAUUUGGAACUGCUGAGCUAGAGUGUCGGAGAGGCAAGUGGAAUUCCUAGUGUAGCGGUGAAAUGCGUAGAUAUUAGGAGGAACACCAGUGGCGAAGGCGGCUUGCUGGACGAUGACUGACGUUGAGGCUCGAAAGCGUGGGGAGCAAACAGGAUUAGAUACCCUGGUAGUCCACGCCGUAAACGAUGACUGCUAGGUGUCGGGUGGCAAAGCCAUUCGGUGCC
rnacentral:rRNA from 1 species